rnacentral:rRNA from 1 species
UGGGGAAUAUUGCACAAUGGGCGAAAGCCUGAUGCAGCAACGCCGCGUGAGUGAUGAAGGUCUUCGGAUUGUAAAGCUCUGUCUUUUGGGACGAUAAUGACGGUACCAAAGGAGGAAGCCACGGCUAACUACGUGCCAGCAGCCGCGGUAAUACGUAGGUGGCGAGCGUUGUCCGGAUUUACUGGGCGUAAAGGGUGCGUAGGCGGAUGUUUAAGUGAGAUGUGAAAUACCCGGGCUUAACUUGGGUGCUGCAUUUCAAACUGGAUAUCUAGAGUGCAGGAGAGGAGAAUGGAAUUCCUAGUGUAGCGGUGAAAUGCGUAGAGAUUAGGAAGAACACCAGUGGCGAAGGCGAUUCUCUGGACUGUAACUGACGCUGAGGCACGAAAGCGUGGGUAGCAAACAGGAUUAGAUACCCUGGUAGUCCACGCCGUAAACGAUGAGUACUAGGUGUAGGAGGUACUCGACCCCUUCUGUGCCGCAGUAA